GGCUGCACAAUUUAUAACUGUACAAAGGUAGCAUAAUAAUUUGUUUUUUAAUUAAAAAUUAGAAUGAAUGAUUAUAUGAAAUAUAAACUGUUUCAAUUAAAUAAAAAUUUAAAUUUUUAUUUAAGUUAAAAAACUUAAAUAAAUUUAAAAGACGACAAGACCCUAUAGAAUUUUAUUUAUUUAUUUUUUUAAAAAAAUUAUUAAUUUAUUUAAAUUUAAAUAAUAAAUUUAAUUGGGGUAAUUUAAAAAUUUAUAAAAUUUUUUUUUUAUAAAACAUUAAUUAAUGAAUUUAAAAUCUUAAAAUUUAAAUUAACAAAAUUAAUUACCUUAGGGAUAACAGCAUAAUUUUUUUUAAAAGAUCUUAUU
rnacentral:rRNA from 1 species